rnacentral:rRNA from 1 species
GACGAACGCUGGCGGCGUGCUUAACACAUGCAAGUCGAGCGGGAUCCAACCGGUGGCAACACCGGGGAAGAUCUAGCGGCGAACGGGUGAGUAACACGUGAGCAACCUGCCCCGAAGACUGGGAUAACACCGGGAAACCGGUGCUAAUACCGGAUGUCGUCAUUAGGCCGCAUGACCUGAUGAUGAAAGGAUUCAUCGCUUCGGGAGGGGCUCGCGGGCUAUCAGCUUGCGGUGGGGUAACGGCCUACCAAGGCGACGACGGCUAGCUGGUCUGAGAGGACGACCAGCCACACUGGGACUGAGACACGGCCCAGACUCCUACGGGAGGCAGCAGUGGGGAAUUUUUCGCAAUGGGGGAAACCCUGACGAAGCAACGCCGCGUGGAGGAUGAAGGCCUCGGUCGUAAC